CCUAGAGUUUAGGUAUGAUCCAUGCUAGUAUAUUGCCUGCCUAACAAUUGAGCUUGAAUUUUUUUUAAGCUAUCUUAAAGUGUUGAUUUUUUUUGGUAGAGUGAGAUCCCUUCUGUUCCUUCCAGUUUUCCAUUCCUUGAUCAUAUUCCAUGGCACUGAUUGGCCCAUAUUUAUCAAUGAGCAGAAUCACUGCAGCCUGAAAUACACACCUCUGUGUGCACCUCUCACUCCAGCUUCCUGCCGCCUCCAGCUGAAAUCAACGUUCCUCCUUCCUUAAUUCAUUAAACCUUCAGAAAUCUUUAUGGAACAAGUACUAUCUAUGUGCCAAUCACUGGAGAGAGAACCAUGAAGCAUGCAGAAGCUUGGCCUCCUGCAGCAUUUAUUCUGAUGAGAUAAUUUACAUCUAAAUAAGUGACCUAAUAAAAAACAAAGCAUGUUAAAGGACUGAAGAGUA
rnacentral:lncRNA from 12 species